AAUAAGAUGGCUGAGAUUAUAAGCGGUAGAUUGUAAAUUUAUUAACAAGGAUAAACCUUUCUUAUUA
rnacentral:tRNA from 2 species